UACGAAGGGGGCUAGCGUUGCUCGGAAUCACUGGGCGUAAAGGGUGCGUAGGCGGGUCUUUAAGUCAGGGGUGAAAUCCUGGAGCUCAACUCCAGAACUGCCUUUGAUACUGGAAAUCUUGAGUCUGGGAGAGGUGAGUGGAACUGCGAGUGUAGAGGUGAAAUUCGUAGAUAUUCGCAAGAACACCGGUGGCGAAGGCGGCUCACUGGCCCGGAACUGACGCUGAGGCACGAAAGCGUGGGGAGCAAACAGG
rnacentral:rRNA from 1 species